AUGAUGUCCACUUUCGAUUAUCAUUUGCUGAACUUUACCGCCAUUUUCCACAAACUGAAGAACUUGUUGAAACGGAAAUUAUUAAAGCUUUGCUACAGGAUGAACAGCUUGGCCAAUCAGAAAAUACGUUUGAUGCCGUGGCUAAAUAUUAUAUUAUUCCCAAAUUCACCAAUGAAAAUUUUGAGCGCGUUUGUAAAAUAUAUGAGUUGGCCAAUGAAAAGCUGAAAACACCAGCCGUUGCAGUUCUGUAUAUUGAGUGUCUUGCGUCAUUACUUGAUAAGAAAUCACCAAUGAAUGGUGCUAAAAUAAGCGACGCUUGCUUGGAGUCGAUUAGUGAUUGGUUGGUUCAAAUUGGAAGCCAAUUUUCUAGCGAAUUUGAUUUGCCGUCGUCAACUAUAAGGAUUGUUAUAUCGUUUAUGCUUGAGAAGAGACUUUAUAAAGAAGCUUUAGACUUGAGCUUGCAAGUCCUUAAUAAAAAAAGUAAUAGUCCUGAAGACUGGAUCUUUUCUAUACGAACACACACGCAAUGCAUAAAUA